CACCGCCGCCUAGCGCCAUCUGCGCCGCCACCCAGCGCCAUGCGCCCCCGACCACCGGCCCGCACCCGCCCCGACCAGCGUCAUCCGCGGCUCCGCGCCCCUGGCCCCCCGCGGCCCCACCCCCGACCAGCGCUCGCCGACCCCGGCCGCCCAGCGCUGGCUCGUUGCGAGUGAGACGGGCGGCCACAACCAGAGAGAGAGAGAGAGAGAGAAGGAAACGAGAAGACCCUCCCGCUGCUUGCACCAUUCCCUCCCGUGGCGGCGGCGACUGUCCGGUCCGGCUGCCAUGUCGAACUGCGAUUACCACUCCCCGCGGUUCUUCGAGGAUGUUGCUUGGCUCCCACAAUGGCUUCAGCCUCACCGGCCGCUGACGGUCGGCGAACACCGGACUCACAGUACAGGCGUUUCAUCUUCUUCUUGUCAGGAGUGUCAGAAUGCCACUGUAAAUGCUGCUGGUUACAGUGGGUUCAUCUUGCGCUUGUCAGAACUUAAGUGGCCAGCAUGAUGUAGAAGGGGGUGGGUUCAUCUUGCGCUUGUCAGAACUUAAGUGGCCAGCAUGAUGUAGAAGGGGCGGAAGAAGAUGGUGCAUUGUUCCCAUCCCUUUGGUGGCACAAGAAGGAAGAGCUACUGGAGUACAGGUUGGUGCUGCUUGGUGGAAAAAAGAACUAAGGAGAAUUGAACUCCCAUAGCCACGGUCACCUAUAACAUGUCUUUGGAUGGUGCUGGGAUCGGAGUAGUAAUAGCGUAACUUGAAGUUCUUUUCAGCAAGAGCGGCAGUGUGUACGAUCGAGCAAUGAAUUGAGCAGCUGGCUGGUCCUGUCUAAUGCGGAAGUCCAUCCAUGCACAUUAGAAGUUUAUCUUUCAAUAAGAUACCAUUUCAAUCACUCAUCUUGUCAAAUACGAGUACUGGAUGAGAUUUUUUUUUUAAUUUGCUGUGUACCAGAUGAGGAUUUUUUUAAUUCUUGUUAGAUUAAUCUUGAUGAGGAUUUUCACAAUUUCCUAAGAUAUAUGAAGCUGCAAUUCAGAUUCUCACUAUUCCUACUAUCUAGAAAAAGACUGAAUGAUAUGCCUCAAAAAUAAACACUUCAGGAAACAAUAGUUAUCUUACUUUUGAAAACCAAUGUCCUAUCCCAAUAAUACAGAAACAUAAUGAAUAAUAGUAAUUUUAGAGAUUAGUGUAGUCUAAACAAAUUUGUGAAUAAUGUGGGUGUGGGUUGAAAUUAAGUUCGUGACUUUAAUUCAAGAAAAAAUACUAUUGAAUGGAUUUUUUUUUUCCAGAAAAUACACUUAGUUGUUUACAUUUUGGCAUUUGUAUGGAUACGGAUAAAGGAAUAUACUCUAAACUUUUGCUGUCACAUAGAGCUAAGGGGCAGCUGGAUAAUUAAGGUCCAUACAUUUACUGUGUAUUUUGGCGUUGCUGAUUAAUUUGCUUACAUGUUGAUAUCAAUAGACUUAUAAUAUCUUUUGUUGCCUGUGAUAUAUGUAUUGGUGCGAAUAUUUUUAUUGCCCGUAGCAACGCACGGACAUGAAUCUAGUAAAAAAGAAGAUAAAAGUGCCUGUUGAAGCUACUGAGGAAAUAAAAAAAACAUUGCUUGCCGAGGCAGUUGGAAAUUGGAACUCCGGAGCUCUUGUCCCUCUGCUGCACGAGGAAAUAUAAAACAAGCAAAAAGAUUUUGAAAACUGGGGCAUUCCAAGAAUUGAAUUCGCAACCUCUCGCACCCUAAUCGAGAAUCAUACCACUAGACCAAAUGCCCUUGUGUGGUUGCUCCUUUUUUUUAUUUCUAUACUUAACUUAUUAAAGGUGGACCAGCCUCCAGGCCCAUAUGCUUGGUGCCUUGGUGGUGGACUGGAAGGGUGGUAGGGAUUCACUCGACACAGAGACUAUGCAAGCGACCAGGGAAUACGUAAAGUUUGCACCGAAGACGUAAUGCCUGUGAUGGAGAGGCGGAGAGGCACGAGCCAGUCAGCGCCAGGCCACCAGCCACUCGCUCGCGAAUACGCGGGCUUUAAAGGGCGUCUCCGCAAAAACGCCACCUCGGCUCCUCUCUCGCGGCGGCGGCGCACCCCCCUUCUCCAUCUCCGGUAAGGCAUUUGGCAUCUCACCUCAACAGCAAGCAUGGCAGGUGGCAGGGUUGCACAUGCCACCCUCAAGGGCCCGAGUGUGGUGAAGGAGAUCUUCAUUGGACUCACCCUUGGGCUGAUUGCCGGUGGCAUGUGGAAGAUGCACCACUGGAACGAGCAGAGGAAGACUAGAUCCUUCUACGACAUGCUGGAGAAGGGCCAGAUCAGCGUUGUUGUCGAGGAGUAGCUUCCAGGCCCCAAGUCUGAAGUUAUUUUCUCACAGUUGUUUCUGAAAACUCUGGAGAGCAUGAAGAAAUGAAUUCUGUGGAGAUUUGUCUUAAAAAUAAGCAUAACCAUUUGAGAACACCAGAUUUUGUUGAAUUUCCUUCCAUUUCAUGAAUAUUUGAACAUGUCCAGAUCAUACCAAGCAACUGAAUAUCUGAUCUAGUUUUACAUAAGUUGAUGUGAAUCGAUUGGUGGCUUACCUAACAGGUGAUUACUCAAUCUGUGUUGGACAUAAUUUUGAGUGGAUGAAGCACUAACAAUCUUUGGCCUGAUUGCACGCUCAGCUGGAGCUCUUUCGUUUGGUAACGUCACAGAUUAGCAGGUGUUUAACAAUUGCUUGCUUACUGGGGUGGUGGAGAAAAGAGAUGCAUGUAUGAGGAUGCAAUAAUGCAUCUUGUCAUGUGUAUUUGUUUUGUUCGAUAAAAGAAACCAAAGAAACAAAUCAAUGCAUUGUUCGUUCCUGCUUCGAUGCCAAGAAGAUGGAUCAAGCAACAUGCUUGGAGAGGGAGCUGUCAGCAGACAGAAUCCAGCGAGCAACUUUGGAACAGAAGAUUUCCCCUUUGAUCUUAUUGCUUUAUUAGAUGUGUAGCUUUGCACUCAAGUUGUUUUGAUGCCUUUCUCCUUGCUUUGAGGUUUGAUAAGAACUCACAUCUUUUGUGACUCA